rnacentral:tRNA from 1 species
AAUUAAUGAACUUGAUAUAAGUAUUUGUUUUGAAAACUUAAAAAAGAAUAAAUUUCUAUUAAUUU